CUGUGGUGUUGGUGUGUGGCGGCGAUGGUGGUGGCGAUGAUUUGGGGCUACAAAUUUGUUUGUUGUGCAGUGAGUGGUCUGUUCGAUGUUAUGGUAGAGUUCGAUGACUGGUGGCUGGGUGGUUGAUCUGGUGGUUGUGCAGGUAGCAGUGGUGUUGGAAUGGUAGCUGACGGUGGGGGGUCGUGGCAGUGGUGAUGAUGAGAUGUUGGUGGUUGGAGGUCGUGGUGACGACGGCAGCGAGGUGGAGGUGCUGUUGGCGUUCAGUGGGUGGGUGGUUGAUCUGGU
rnacentral:lncRNA from 1 species